rnacentral:rRNA from 1 species
UACGUAGGGUGCAAGCGUUAAUCGGAAUUACUGGGCGUAAAGCGUGCGCAGGCGGUUUUGUAAGCCAGAUGUGAAAUCCCCGGGCUUAACCUGGGAAUGGCAUUUGGGACUGCAAGGCUUGAGUGCGGCAGAGGAGACUGGAAUUCCUGGUGUAGCAGUGAAAUGCGUAGAUAUCAGGAAGAACACCGAUGGCGAAGGCAGGUCUCUGGGCUGACACUGACGCUAAUGCACGAAAGCGUGGGGAGCAAACAGG